rnacentral:rRNA from 1 species
GAUGAACGCUGGCGGCGUGCCUAAUACAUGCAAGUCGAGCGAACAGACGAGGAGCUUGCUCCUCUGACGUUAGCGGCGGACGGGUGAGUAACACGUGGAUAACCUACCUAUAAGACUGGGAUAACUUCGGGAAACCGGAGCUAAUACCGGAUAAUAUAUUGAACCGCAUGGUUCAAUAGUGAAAGACGGUUUUGCUGUCACUUAUAGAUGGAUCUCGGCCGCAUUAGCUAGUUGGUAAGGUAACGGCUUACCAAGGCAACGAUGCGUAGCCGACCUGAGAGGGUGAUCGGCGACACUGGAACUGAGACACGGUCCAGACGCCUACGGGAGGCAGCAGUAGGGAAUGUUACGCAAUGGGCGAAAGCAUGACGGAGCAACGCCGCGUGAGUGAUGAAGGUCUUCGGAGCGUAAAACUCUGUUAUUAGGGAAGAACAAAUGUGUAAGUAACUAUGCACGUCUUGACGGUACCGAAUCAGAAAGCCACGGCUAACUACGUG